UUCGCACGUCUAGAAAUCAAAGCAUUCUUCAAGCACGAAAGUCACUUCAAUUUUCAUACAACAAACAGCACAGACAAGUCGGGGGAAAUAAUAUCAUUUGAAUCUUUAGUUUAAAAUAAUGACACGAUCUCAACUUUGAAAAGUAAAAAAGAAAAAGAAAAAGGAAAAGAUGAACAAGAGAAAAAAAGAGGGAGAGUCGGCGGGCUAGAAGAAGAAUUAAGGAAAUCCGUGAUCCUUGGGACGUUCAAUGUUUUCGCGAUAAAUCGCAUGUCUUGGCUCAGGGCGCACUGUCUAGCUGGGCCAUGCCACUCAAGAUGGCGGCGCUAUUUCCCGAAAGGCAUCGCGGGGCGGUGAUGCGUGACGUCACAUGCCGCUAUGCACAGUCGGUAACAAGUUUCGCUUUAAUACCGAUUAUUCUACACCAAUCAAAAUCCAAAGAAAUAAAUUAUUAAACGGGAAUCAAUCUAAA